GAAGACCUGUCUGCACAUAUGUAGCUUAUUCAAGUCCAACGAAUAGUUAAGGCAACAGCUGACUUGACUAUUUAUUUAUAUCUAUGUAUAGUUGUACAUAUGUAAGUAUAUUGCACUGGAUUGGACACUGAUUCACUUAUGUUCCGCCAACAGCUAGCUUUUACUGGAUCAACAGAGACCGGGAAAACCAUACUUGAAUUGGCUGCUAAGAGCAAUCUUAAGCCUGUGACAUUGGAACUCGGAGGGAAAUCCCCUUUUAUUGUUUAUGAGGAUGCUGAUAUUGAUACAGCCGUUGAACAAGCUCACUUUGCUCUCUUCUUUAAUCAGGUACUAUUUCCUAUCUAUAUUUCUUCAUUGGGUAUUGACAGGUUCAUGUUAGAUACUAACACCUAUGACAUAAAUUUUAAAGGGCCAAUGUUGUUGUGCUGGCUCUCGGACCUAUGUUCACGAGAAAGUCUAUGAUGAAUUUCUGGAGAAGGCAAAAGCACGCGCCUUGAAACGAGUAGUUGGUGAUCCGUUUAAAUCAGGCACAGAGCAGGGUCCUCAGGUAUUGAUGAUCUCCUAACUAAUCCACUUUCUUAUCUAAAAUGCUGGAAACCAAUGUAUUAAACCUGAAUGACGAAAAACAAACCAUAUUUCCUUCCUUGUAAGUCUUUUUCUUAAGGUAAUAAUACUAUACAUAAGAGUUUUCCUGUCACAACAGAUUGAUUCAAAACAGUUUGAUAAGAUCAUGAAGUACAUUAGAUCUGGUGUCGAUAGUGGAGCUACUCUUGAAACUGGCGGUGAGCAAUUUGGUAAAAAGGGCUACUAUAUUAAGCCCACCGUCUUCUCUAAUGUUAAGGUAUAUACAUUUUCACUUUAAUAGACAUGAUUUAUAGCAUCAACGUCCAUAAAUUGUCAUAACUAACAAAUUGUACAAUUGUCAGGAUGAUAUGCUGAUUGCACAGGAUGAGAUUUUUGGUCCAGUACAGUCCAUCUUAAAAUUUAAGUAUGUGAGAACGAUCAAAUAUAUAUGUCAACAGUAUGUGGAACUUUAUUAUCGACUUCUAUUUAUGGUAUGCGUUUGUUCAUUACAGGGAUCUUGAUGAAGUGGUACGGAGAGCUAAUAGUUCUCGGUAUGGUCUAGCUGCUGGAGUAUUUUCGCAGAACAUUGACACUGCAAACACCUUGGCACGAGCCUUGAGAGUUGGGACGGUAUGGAUUAAUUGCUUUGAUACGUUUGAUGCUACAAUUCCUUUUGGUGGCUAUAAGAUGAGUGGUCAGGGAAGAGAAAAGGGAGAAUAUGGUCUCAGGAAUUACUUGCAAGUGAAGGCAGUUGUGACACCAUUGAAGAAUCCAGCAUGGUUAUAAACAUAAUACUCCUGAGCUAUUUUUACAAAUAAAACUAAACCAUAUAUCAUGAUAUCAAGUUGCUCUAGUUUAUGAUGUUGAUGACGAUAAAUGUUGAUUUUCUUUUAGAACUUCUUUAUAUACAAACUGCAUUUGAUGUCAACGUCAUUUCUCCUCUUAUAUAUUCUCCUUGCAUAUAUGUUUUAUCUAUCCUGAUGAAGAUAUUAAGUGUAAAUAAAGCAAAUCUUAUUGAAAUUCUGUGAGAAUAGAACAACUUAUUCAGUUAUAGGGUGAAUUUCAUACAAAAGCAUAUACAAAUGCAAAACUGAACAUUGUGUAUAACCGCGGACCUCCUAGACACUUUGGUACAACAAAUGGCAGUACAGAAUAAAAAUGAGACACAUAUUACAAGUGUGAGGUUUGGAAAGAAUAAGAUUACUGGUGUGUUUGGUAUGACGGAAAAUGUUUUCUUGGAAUUAUUUUUGGUUCGUAUCGUUAAGUAUCAUGAUGGUUGAUCUUGUUUUUGCUGUUCUUGACAAGGGAAACAAUAGAGUGACCAAUUUUCUCACCCAUCAUAGUGGAAACAUGUUUUUUCUCUUUAGGAAUUACACUUCCUUUCUUGGGAGUGAAUGGAAAUAUGCCAUUUUUGCUUUCUCCGAUUUUCUCUGCUUUUCCCUUCCCUUUGCUUUCCUUAUCAGCCAUCUUUCUCUUGCUCUCUUCUUGUUGUUAUUGCUUUGUUUGUUAUGUGAAUUGUGUGUGUCUAACCAGCAAGGUAAAGAGGCUUUUUAUAGGCCUAAUUUUGAUAGUAAUUUCUUGUACUGUGUCUGUGUGUAUUUGUGUUUAUGUGUUAUGUGUAUUUGUGUCUAUGUGUUUGUGUAUUUGUGUGUGUUUUAAACUAGUCAGCAUGAGUUGAAGCAAAGAUCAUGUUGUGAAUUAUAUGCAUUUUUGUGAGUUUAAACUAGUCAACCUUAAUUCCAACAAAGACCAUAUUUUGUGUGUGUGACUUUUUUGUUGUUGUUGUUGAUAAUAGUGUGUUUAUAGGUAGUCAACGUGAGGUUACGCAAACAUUAUAUAUUGUGUUUUGUGCCUUUGGGUAAAAGAAAAAAGGAACUUUACGACAAUUUAAAAUUGGUCAAAUUAUACACUCAUCGUUACAUGUUUUGCUCAAAAAUAUCUCUAACUAUCUAAAUAGACCAAAAACAUCAUUCCUUCUAAUGGUUGUUUCGAAAUAAUACAUUCAAUGUUUAAUUAUAUACCGUAGCAGUUUAACAACUUUCUAAACCAUCAUCAAGUACAUAAUAAGUAUAAAUUAAUUGUAUAAAAUUCGUUUUAUAUCUAUUUGUUAACUCUUGUAUUUAAAUAAACAUUAUAAUUAGAUGUAAAAUAUUGAUACAAAGUUUCCAUAUCGAAAGUUUCUAAUUGCUCAACAUUCAAAAAAAAGUUUCCAUAUCCAAAGUUUCUAUAUUCAUCGUGUAAAAAUCUAACAUCUUAAUUCAAUUAGCGGGGUGGGGGGGGGGGAUAAUUCUUUCCUUUUUUUUCUUUUUUUUUUUUGGUAAAAAUAAAGUUUCCAUAUCUGUUUUCUGUUUAUAUAAAACGUGCAAAAAUAUAAAAAUUUCCAUAUAUAUGUUUUUGGUUUUAGAAAACGUAUAAAAUAUAAAAAGUUACCAUAAAAAUGUAAAAGAAAUUCCAUAAAAAAAUGUUUCCAUAGUCGUUAGGGAAUAGGAAUGAUAAUAAUAAUCCAAAAAAGAAAGCGAAAUCCUAAUCCAAAGAUAAACGUAAAGCCUCUAGCUAUAUAUACAUGUGAAAUAUUAAUUAGCUUGUGCAAAUUAAUUAAACAAAAAACAUGGAAAAAUUUCCCUCAUGUCUUGUUAAAGUAGUUGUAAUAUUAAUGAUACUAGUAUGUUUUCCUUCCACCACCCUCUCUAGAAAACUAUUACUGUCGUCACCACCAUCAGAAAUUGCUCCUCCAAAACCUCAUAAUAAUAUUGUUAACGAUGAAGACAACAAUCCAAAAGAGAAGGUGAUUGAUGAUAGUCGUCGAAGCUGGAGUUCUCUUGAUCUUGGUCACAAAAUUACGAUUAUCCUAUCUAUAUUUUGUAGCUUGCUUACAAUUAUCGGCCUCGUUAUCGUGAUAACAUGGUUUAUCUAUUCCGAAGUAUGGGGAUAUUGAUCCAUCUAACUACUCUAUACCUUCUAUUUUCUGUAAUUUAAUGAAUAAACACUGUUUUUCUAUUUUCGAUCCAAUUAAUUUUUAAUAGUUUUAUUGUUUAGUGUUGAUCCAACUUAUUCAAUAAUAUUGACAUUUUAUUAUUGCUAAAAAUAUUAUAAUAUGUAUUUUUUGUAUUUCUUAUAAACUAAAAGUAUAGAUUUUUUUUCAUUAGAAAAAUUUACGUUAACCUUUGGUUUAUUAUUAAUGGGUUGUUUAUAAUUAUAUAAAUAAAUAUCUUUAAAUUAUUGUUCAUUACAAAAAAUUUUAAAAACUUUUCUUUGUUGGACUAUGUGAUUGAAGGGGAAUCAUACGGGUAGUGAGAAUUGUAAUUAGAUACAUAAUACAUUACAACAAAAAAUAUUUUUUAAAAUUUGACAAAAAAAAUAAUCUAACACUCAUUAUAUUUGUUAAAGAUUAUCAAGCAGCUCCAUAUAAAUUGAGACUAAAAGAAUAAUAUAUUUUUUAUAUAUUGAGACUCAAAGUUCUCAACUCAUUUUUUUUCACGAAACUAUUUCUUUGUGUUUUUCUUUUAGUAGCAUGAGUCUUGUUGUACAUCUCCAUCUUGCUAAAUUAUGAUGAUUUUUCUUAAAUGUUGGAUGUUAAAGAGUUAUAGUCUAGUUUCACUUUGAUCAUUGUUAAUCUUGAAGGCAGAAAUCUUGUUGAAUAUAUUGUAUAGAGUUAUAAGUCUUUAUUAACAAUUCUGGACUGUAUUAUGGGAUUAUAGAGUUGGAAGCACUUGAAUCUUUAGCCAGCCGUGCUAUUGUAUGCAAUUUAUCCAAACUCAAAGUAUUAGGAUGGAAGACCUGUCUGCACAUAUGUAGCUUAUUCAAGUCUAACGAGUAGAUAAGGCAACAACUGACUUGACUAUCUAUUUAUAUCUAUGUAUAGUUGUACAUAUGUAAGUAUAUUGCACUGGAUUGGACACUGAUUCACUUAUGUUCCGCCAACAGCUAGCUUUUACUGGAUCAAUUGAGACCGGGAAAACCAUACUUGAAUUGGCUGCUAAGUGUUGGGAAAGGCAAGCACAGAAUAAAUGUGCACGACAAGGCUAUAGCGGAAGAAAACCCAAGUCAAAACUUUCCCUUCUAUUUGAACCAAGAGAAGACAAAAUAAUGCAAGAAUAAAACUGUUUGGGCAGCAAACAAAUCAACCAAGCAAGAAAAAUAAAUCAACACACGAGACACCAAAUUUUAACGUGAAAAACCUCUUUGGUGUGAAGAGUAAAAAUCACAAGGCCAAAGCUCCACUAUAAUCAACAAGAGUUACAAAGUGUUCUCCAAAAUGGCCACCAACAAAGUGCCAAACAAUGAGCAACACAACUACAAGAUAGCACCAAAAAACUAGAGAAAUAAAAGAAGCAAAAAACCAAACCCGCAGCUACUGUUUACGAGCUAAAAUCUGGAGCUACAGGACUCCAAAUCACCCUCUUUCAGUUCCCAAUCAAAGAUCCAGUUGAAAGGAACAAGCUGUCCAAAAAUCAGCUCAAUCGAAUAAGAAACGAAGCGGGAAUCACGAUUUGAAAAUGGCUGCUAGGGCUUGUGUGAAAAUCUGCACUUUCUCACUUUUCUCUCUAUAUGACUGCUCUCAAUCUGUUGUGAUAUAUAUCAAAAUAAGACCUAAAAGAAAGUCUUACAUAUGCACCAUAAUAUUGGGCUUAUGGGCAAAUUGGGCUAGUCAAAUUUGGGCUAAAAUUUAUCCACAAAGGAAAGGAAGGAAGACCCAGAUCCUUGGACUUUUAUUUAUCCACAUAAGAAGGGAAAAAGGCCCAAAACCCAACAAUUCUCCCCCUACCGACUAUGUGGAGGAAACCGCCAUCUCGACGAUCAUGCAACAUUCUUCAAACUUUCCUCUUGGCAAAUCUUUAGUCAUCAUGUCGGAACCAUUAUCAUUGGUAUGGAUUUUCUCAAGUUCAAGCAACUUAGAAUCCAACACAUCUCGAAUCCAAUGAUAUCUUACAUCAAUGUGUUUAGACCGACCAUGAAAUGUAGAAUUCUUGCCAAGGUGAAUUGCACUUUGACUGUCGCAAUAAAACACAUACCUCUCUUGAGUACAACCAAGUUCCCCAAGAAUCUUUUUAUCCAGAUCAAUUCUUUGCAAGCUUCAACAGCUGCAAUAAGCUCAGCCCUCUGUAGUAGAUAAAGCAACACAUAUUUGCAACCUAAAUUGCCAAAACACAGCCCCCCCCUGCAAAAGUAAUCAAGUAGCCUGAAGUAGACUUACGAGUAUCAACAUCACCAGCCAUGUCUGAAUCAUUAUAACCACAAAGAAUAGGUUUCCCUAUCCCAAAACACAAACUCAGACUAGAAUUGCCACAAAGAUAUCUCAUAAUCCACUUUACAGCAUUCCAAUGCUCUCUUCCCGGAUUAGAAAGAAAACGGCUAACAAUACCAACAUCAUGAGCAAUAUCUGGUCUUGUACACACCAUUGCAUACAUCAAACUACCAACAGCUGAAGCAUAAUGAACUUUCUUCAUAUCUUCCUUCUCACCAUCAUUGGAAGGACAAUGUCUAGUAUUCUAUUUGAGUGCAUAGCUAAAGGUGUACUGACAACCUUAGUUUUGUCCAUGUUAAAUCUACGAAGUUCUUUCUGAAUGUACUUCUCUUGUGACAACCACAAUUUCUUGGCAUCUCUUUCACGGACAAUCUGCAUGCCAAGAAUUUGUCUUGCUGGUCCCAAGUCUUUCAUAGCAAAAGACUUAUUCAAUUCUUGCUUCAAGUCUUUAAUCCUGCAAGCAUUAUGACCAACAACAAGCAUGUCAUCAACAUAAAGAAAAAUGAUAAUAAAGUCACCAUCAGAGAAUUUUUGUACAAAAACACAAUGGUCUGAAGAAGUCUUCUUGAAGCCCUGCUGACUCAUAAAAGAACCAAACUUCUUGUACCAUUGCCUAGGAGCUUGUUUUAAACCAUACAAGCUCUUCUUACAUUUGCAAACAUAAUUCUCCUUUCCCUUGACUUCAAAGCCUUCCGACUGCUCCAUAUAAAUUUCUUCAUCUAAGUCACCAUGGAUAAAAGCAGUUUUAACAUCCAUCUGUUCAACCUCCAAGUCCAGAUUUGCAGCCAAGCCUAGAACCACACAAAUGGAUGACAUCUUCACAACUAGAGAGAAUAUCUCAUCAAAAUCAAUUCCCUUUUCUGGUUAAAGCCCUUCACAACUAAUCUACACACGAGACACCAAGUUUAACGUGGAAAAACCUCUUCGGUGUGAAAGAGUAAAAACCACAAAGGCCAAAAACUCCACUAUAAUCAACAAGAGUUACAAAAGUGUUCUCCAAAAAUGGCCAUCAACAAAGUGCCAAACAAUGAGCAACACAACUACAAGAUAGCACCAAAAAGCUAGAGAAAUAAAAGAAGCAAAAAGGCAAACCCGCAGCUACUGUUCACGAGCUAAAAUCUGGAGCUACAGGACUCCAAAUCACCCUCUCUCAGUUCCCAAUCAAAGAUCCAGUUGAAAGGAACAAGCUUUCCAAAAAUCAGCUCAAUCGAAUAAGAAACGAAGCGGGAAUCAUGAUUUGAAAAUGGCUGCUAGGGCUUGUGUGAAAAUCUGCACUUUCUCACUUUUCUCUCUAUAUGGCUGCUCUCAAUCUGUUGUGGUAUAUCUCAAAAUAAGACCUAAAAGAAAGUCUUACAUAUGCACCAUAUUAUUGGGCUUAUGGGCAAAUUGGGCUAAAUUUAUCCACAAAGGAAAGGAAGAAAGACCCAGAUCCUUGGACUUUUAUUUAUCCACAUAGGAAGGGAAAAAUGCACAAAACCAAACACUAAGAGCAAUCUUAAGCCUGUGACAUUAGAACUUGGAGGGAAAUCCCCUUUUAUCGUUUGUGAGGAUGCUGAUAUUGAUACAGCCGUUGAACAAGCUCAC
rnacentral:lncRNA from 1 species